rnacentral:lncRNA from 10 species
UUAAUUUUCAUGUUGUGGCUCUUUCAUUUUCAAGCUUCAAUUCUUUCUCCUACCACCUUUCUUAUUCUUCCAUGCCUGGGUCAUAGAACUAGAUUUACCUGUCCCACAAAUGUCAUUAUCAGUAUGUAUUUUAUUUUAAGCAAGUCCAUGUCCUCAGAGGAUUCCCUCGUAUCCUGCUAAGAAGAAAGCUGGACCCCCAGCAAAGGAAUCCACUGGAACAUAGACCUCAGAUAAGGGGAAACUGAGGACUGAACUCAGAUUGUCAUUCUUUCCUGAAUACUAAAUUCCUUUCUCAGGGACCUAGAGGAGGUCAUACCCCAGAAAUAACAUUUUUUUUUCUGAUCAUCUCAAAUUUUUUAAACAAAACUUCACCUCCUGAACCAGUUGCAAAUUAGAAAAUCUUUGAAUCCACCUAUAACCCAUGGGUCCCCAUUUCAAGAUAUCUUACCUCUUCAGGUCAAAGCAAUGGAUAGCCUCAUGAAUGCUGCCACAGAUUCCUGCAUAACCAAGUAUCAUCACCAAGCAGCACUGAGCAACAUUUUUCUUUCUUCACUUUUAUUUUAAUUCAUGGUUCCAGUGAUACUCCAGAAUUACACAGUAUUCAGAAUAAUUGCACAUGGUGAUUGAAACCCUAUUGUAAUAUUAAAUAAUCCCUCCUUACUAUAAAAGUAUAUGUAUAGUUUUAGGUGAAAUUUUGAUCUCAUGAUAUCAAUAAUUUAUAUCAGUAACAAGAUAAAUAUUGACCAGUAGAAUUUUGAAGAGUUUGAAUUUUACACUUACUUUAAUCUAUACUUUUGUAAAAAUCUAUACAAAUUUGUACAUUUUCAAGUAAAUUUAUUUUUAUUUCUUAGAAAUUUACUUUUGGUAGGACACAAACUAUAAACAUUCUUACUAUAACAAAGAAUGUACUACUGUGAGGACA